GUGCAUAUUUAGGUAAUAUUUUUAGUCCAGAGAAUUUAAUUUGCAAACCCUAUAUUUAACCCUGUAACUUUCCAAGACACCAUACAACCUGUACAUGGGGGGUACUGUUAUUCUCGGGAGAAUAUUAGUGUUUCAAAACAGUAAACGUAUCACAACGAUGAUAACGUUGGUGAUAUUGACGUUUGUGUAUGAAAAAUGCAAAAAAAAUAAAAAUAUGAACGCUAACUUUGGCCAGGGUUUGUGACUAAGUAGCUACUAAAAAUGCCUGGACAUAUUGAG